UACGGAGGGUGCAAGCGUUAUCCGGAUUCACUGGGUUUAAAGGGUGCGUAGGCGGCGCGGAAAGUUGGGUGUGAAAUCCCUCGGCUCAACCGAGGAACUGCGCCCAAAACUACCGUGCUCGAGGAAGAUAGAGGUGAGCGGAACUUACGGUGGAGCGGUGAAAUGCGUUGAUAUCGUAAGGAACACCCGUGGCGAAAGCGGCUCACUGGGUCUUCUCUGACGCUGAUGCACGAAAGCUAGGGGAGCAAACGGG
rnacentral:rRNA from 1 species